rnacentral:sRNA from 1 species
UAGUGAAGGAAAAUAUUCUGAAGUAAUCAGAAAGUCCAGUGCUAUUGAACUAUUAUUUACACUCUAUCCUCCUCAAGGUGCCAGAGUGAACGCUGGCACAAGACUGCGGUCCACGUGGCUGAGACCCUUGGUGGAUGGGGAAGAAGGCUAUAAGUACAUAGUGACUGGACAUCCAAUACUCAAGAGAGCUAACAUCCGGACUGUUGGGAAGUUGGUGGCUAGAUCCAUAAGAGAAAGAAAAAUGAGACAAUUUUAUAAAUCAUGAGAACUGGAAUAAAAUUUUCAACACAGUGCUUCAUUAAAUAGUUGAACUUACCUCCUCAGAAAAGCAUAUUAGUAAUGAACGCAGAAUGACUUGCUAUCAACAGGAUAAAAGGAGGAAUCUUUGCAUAUGCGAAAGGGGCUGUUGACAAGUUAGUUCCUCAUUUCUAAGUAAGUUUGGAUGAGCGGUCUUUAUCGUCCUCAUUAAACAUCUGCUAAUCAUGAUGA